rnacentral:rRNA from 1 species
GAUGAACGCUAGCUACAGGCUUAACACAUGCAAGUCGAGGGGAAACGAUAUUGGAAGCUUGCUUCCGAUAGGCGUCGACCGGCGCACGGGUGAGUAACGCGUAUCCAACUUGCCCAUCACUUGGGGAUAACCUUGCGAAAGUAAGACUAAUACCCAAUGACGUCUCUAGAAGACAUCUGAAAGAGAUUAAAGAUUUAUCGGUGAUGGAUGGGGAUGCGUCUGAUUAGCUUGUUGGCGGGGUAACGGCCCACCAAGGCGACGAUCAGUAGGGGUUCUGAGAGGAAGGUCCGCCACAUGGGAGCUGAGACACGGUCCGAACUCCUACGGGAGGCAGCAGUGAGGAAUAUUGGUAUAUGGACGAGAGUCUGAACCAGCCAAGUAGCGUGCAGGAUGACGGCCCUAUGGGUUGUAAACUGCUUUUAAAAGGGAAUAAAGUGAGAGUCGUGACUCUUUUUGCAUGUACCUUAUGAAUAAGGACCGGCUAAUUCCGUGCCAGCAGCCGCGGUAA